GACGAACGCUGGCGGCGUGCUUAACACAUGCAAGUCGAACGGAAAGGCCCUGCUUUUGUGGGGUGCUCGAGUGGCGAACGGGUGAGUAACACGUGAGUAACCUGCCCUUGACUUUGGGAUAACUUCAGGAAACUGGGGCUAAUACCGGAUAGGAGCUCCUGCUGCAUGGUGGGGGUUGGAAAGUUUCGGCGGUUGGGGAUGGACUCGCGGCUUAUCAGCUUGUUGGUGGGGUAGUGGCUUACCAAGGCUUUGACGGGUAGCCGGCCUGAGAGGGUGACCGGCCACAUGGGGACUGAGAUACGGCCCAGACUCCUACGGGAGGCAGCAGUGGGGAAUAUUGCACAAUGGGCGGAAGCCUGAUGCAGCAACGCCGCGUGCGGGAUGACGGCCUUCGGGUUGUAAACCGCUGUCGCCUGUGACGAAGCGUGAGUGACGGUAAUGGGUAAAGAAGCACCGGCUAACUACGUG
rnacentral:rRNA from 1 species